UACGUAGGGUGCGAGCGUUGUCCGGAAUUAUUGGGCGUAAAGAGCUUGUAGGCGGUCUGUCGCGUCUGCUGUGAAAAUCCGGGGCUCAACCCCGGACUUGCAGUGGGUACGGGCAGACUAGAGUGUGGUAGGGGAGACUGGAAUUCCUGGUGUAGCGGUGAAAUGCGCAGAUAUCAGGAGGAACACCGAUGGCGAAGGGCAGGUCUCUGGGCCACUACUGACGCUGAGAAGCGAAAGCAUGGGGAGCGAACAGG
rnacentral:rRNA from 1 species